GAUGAACGCUGACAGAAUGCUUAACACAUGCAAGUCUACUUGAACUUCGGUUUGGGUGGCGGACGGGUGAGUAACGCGUACAGAACUUGCCUCACAGAUAGGGACAACAUUUGGAAACGAAUGCUAAUACCUGAUAUUAUGAUUUUAGGGCAUCCUAGAAUUAUGAAAGCUAUAUGCACUGUGAGAGAGCUUUGCGUCCCAUUAGCUAGUUGGAGAGGUAACGGCUCACCAAGGCGAUGAUGGGUAGCCGGCCUGAGAGGGUGAUCGGCCACAAGGGGACCGGGGCACGGCCCUUACUCCUACGGGAGGCAGCAGUGGGGAAUAUUGGACAAUGGACCAAGAGUCUGAUCCAGCAAUUCUGUGUGCACGAUGAAGUUUUUCGGAAUGUAAAGUGCUUUCAGUUGGGAAGAAAAAAAUGACGGUACCAACAGAAGAAGUGACGGCUAAAUACGUG
rnacentral:rRNA from 1 species